rnacentral:lncRNA from 12 species
AUGAAAUCCACUAAGAACACUAAAGUGAAACCUGCGGUAUCAUCUAAAGAAGAAGAGUGCGGAAUAUGGCUCGACACAAAAGAGUUAAAAGAAAAGAAACAACAGCUGACCCGUCCGAUAUCCAAAUUACUGAACCCACUCGCGAGAUCAGGGGAAUACAGCGUGGAAGUGGCACUGAGCUUCACUCAGACCAAACUCAACAUGCCUGUCACUAGACAAAGCACAAUAUCAAAUUUCUUUUCACCCAAAUCCAGAGACCCUAACCCUAGUGUGGCUCAUUCAGGGAUGUCCAGCUUCAUGCACACAGAGGGACCCCCCGGGGUCAAACGGAAACAUGAUGUGUCUUUGGAGCCAUCUAUAGAGUCAACCGGUCAACCACCUGAGGUGUACCAGCAGAACUGUGAUGGAGAUUUUGAAGGAUUGUCAGUCAAGGACAAAAAAGAACAGCAUUUCCUCCAUUUAAUAUGCGGAGAUGAGCAAGAUGAAGAAGAACCACCUGAAAAAAGGAGACAUGUUGUCCAUUAUACAGAAAAUGUGACGCAAGAAUAUUGGAAUAAAGAAGCAUCAAAUGAAUAUCCAAAUCAGACAAUUCCCGAAACUGAGACUUUCUUUCAUGUGGAUCUGUUGGUCUGGAAGCCCUCUGAAGAUGCACAUAAGUCUCCAGGUCCUAAACACAUUGACAAACAUGAUUUAAGAGAUCAGAAGGCCUCGGUUAAGAAGUCUAUUUUGACCUCUAGGCCUGUCAAUGAAAACCACAAAAGAUCGAAAUCGAAUGCUGUGAUUACUAAUAUAAAUCAGGUGCGUUCUUGGUGCAAAAAUAAGGCAUCGCCCAUGAAACGGAUGGGAAAAGAGAAUAGCUGGCCCACAUCUCCUACUCAAAAUGCUCAAACGUCAACUUUUAAACACCAUCUAAUUUCUAGUCCAGCUAAGUGCAGGUUAAAGGAAAAAUACACCUUUUCCCCUAAAAAAUCAGGUAAGGAACUUACAAACACAGAGAGGGCUGGAGAAACUCUUGCUAUGUUGUUCACUCAGGACUCUGAGGGCUUCUGUGUGAUUGCUCACCGUGACCAGCACUUAAGGAGUCCACUACAAGACCAGGGCAAUUCAUCUGUGGGCAAAGAUUACAGGAAUAGUCAAUCUGCCACUUCUUUAGAAAAAGAGGAAGAGGAAUCAGAUCUAGAGCCAGAGAUGCUUUUCACCCAAGACUCCGAGGGAAACAUGGUCAUCAAGCAUUAG